CAGGAGUCAGUCCACCUGGAACUUCUGCCUCCAGUGUACUGAGUCCGCACGGACCACCAGGGCUGACACUGCCUUACUGAAUAUGGGGGUGGGGGAAGUCCCUGGGAUAUAUAAUGGUCUCAAUUUAAAUUCUGUGCUGUUUUUAUUUUAGCUGUGUAAUUUGGAAACUUCAAAUAAAAGCCUGAAAGGAAAGUUGGACUAUUUAAGCUUACACAGACUCUAUUAAUGCUAUAUGGUUAUUCUACCCUUGACUUUGGAAGAAGGAAAAACUGGCAUGGGAAUUCACUUUUCUAAAAAAAAUACUAUUUAAAAAUAUGAAAGUUUAUUUAACAUCUAAGGAAAGGUACUUAACUAGAGGGACACUUAACAAGAAGAAUUGAGGAUCUAAGUAAAUAGUCCCCAUCUGCUCCUGGUCCUACCACCUGGCGAUUACUUCCUCUUCUUCUCUGAUAGAUUUUAGCCAACCAAUUUUGUUUUAUUUGUGCAAGUUGAGAGGCCACCUGUUAUGGAAUAUACUUCCACAUUAAACAAAGUGAACAUUUCCUA
rnacentral:antisense_RNA from 1 species